CCUACGGGUGGCAGCAGUGGGGAAUAUUGGGCAAUGGGCGCAAGCCUGACCCAGCAACGCCGCGUGCAGGAUGAAGGCUCUAUGAGUUGUAAACUGCUUUUGUACGAGGGUAAACCCCGAUACGUGUAUCGGGAUGAAAGUAUCGUACGAAUAAGGAUCGGCUAACUCCGUGCCAGCAGCCGCGGUAAUACGGAGGAUCCGAGCGUUAUCCGGAUUUAUUGGGUUUAAAGGGUGCGUAGGCGGUUUGAUAAGUUAGAGGUGAAAUGUCGGGGCUCAACCCCGAAACUGCCUCUAAUACUGUGGGACUAGAGAAUAGUUGCGGUAGGCGGAAUGUAUGGUGUAGCGGUGAAAUGCUUAGAGAUCAUACAGAACACCGAUUGCGAAGGCAGCUUACCAAACUAUAUCUGACGUUGAGGCACGAAAGCGUGGGGAGCAAACAGGAUUAGAUACCCUAGUAGUC
rnacentral:rRNA from 1 species